rnacentral:rRNA from 1 species
UCAGUUCGGAUCGGAGUCUGCAACCCGACUCCGUGAAGCUGGAUUCGCUAGUAAUCGCGCAUCAGCCAUGGCGCGGUGAAUACGUUCCCGGGCCUUGUACACACCGCCCGUCAAGCCAUGGGAGCCGGGGGUGCUUGAAGUGCGUCGCCGCAAGGCGCGCCCUAGAGCAAAACCGGUGACUGGGGCUAAGUCGUAACAAGGUAGC